CUCUCUCUCUCUCUCUCUCUCUCUCUCUCUCUCUCUCUCUUUGUUUUGGCUCUUUCAAGGUGCUGUUCUACGAAAAUGCCGCUUGGAGAUCGAUUGGCGACAAGAUCGAGUCUCGGUUUUGUGGCGUGGCUACUGAGUUCGAUGACGAAGUGCCUCAGCUUCUUCUCUCAAAUCUCUCUUAUAGUGGAUUUGAUUUCGUCGUCGCUCCUCUGGCAUGUCUUCUUCCAGCAUCUAAGGGAACAUCAUAUGCUAUUUAUGCUAGACGUGUUCGGGCCUUAAUAAUAUGCAGUUGUGGUUCAGGAUACCUCUAGUGAAGGUUGAUGAUGAUUCUACAAAUGUGAAGUCUGAUCAAUUGGUG